AAAUGCUCAAAUCUUUUACGUCUUAGACUCCAGUCUCUGGAUGCAUAUUCUGACACAGUUAGGCACAACCUCCCUUCUCAGAAAACAACACAAGUCUCCCCGCUGAUGUACCACAGCCCCCUGUUAGUAGAUGGAAAUCAUAAUGCUCCACCACAGAAAUGUGAGUAGAUUUUCAGUUGGAGUGCAAGCAAGUCCCUAAGAGGAAAACACUUCUGAUGAGACUCUAGAAGGUUCUCCAGAGGUAUUAUUGAUUAUUAAUGACAAGAAAAGUCAGGAAAGCAAUCAGAUGUGGAAAUAAAUGCUGAAGAAUCUACAAAUAAUGUCUGCAGACACUUACCACUGAGGAAACAUGUACUAAAAGGUAUAGCAAUGUAUACCAAAGAAAACUGAGGAAUGUCCGGAGACUGUACAUGGAAAUUAGAAACUUAGCUUAAUGAUGCUUUUUCCUUGAAGAAAAAGGUGAGUGGUGCUGAGGAGAGUUCAUAAAGGAAAACACGCCACGCUUGCAGAUGUCAUGAAGGAAAUGGAAGAAGCAAAUGCAGAAAACUGCAUUGAAACUCUUCUCUAAAUAAUAUUCUGCCAUGAGCUGAACUGUGAGACCCAGAUGACUGCAAGGGCACAAAAAUUGUCAGUGCAGAGUCACCACAUGGGAGCUUUCCCUAGACAUUUUUCCUCAGAUGUCUCAACUACAGAGAUAAGGUUAAAAUGUUGAGAUUGACUGGACAAAGAUCAGAAAUUAAAUUCAACUCCAUGUUCAUUUCAUUCUAUCCAGACUGUAAUUUAAAGAUCCAAAGAGGUCACUGCUAUUUUCUGAAAUUUGAAGAAAGUUCUCAGAGAUCAAAAUGUUCACUACGUCACAGCAUGUUCCUUUUUCUGAAGUUGAGAGGUGAGCUCCAGUAAAUGGGAACACUCCAUUUUCUAACUUUACCUGAAAGCAGCUUAAAAUUUCAGCUUUGCCAAAGCCAAAGAAUUAUUUCUUCCAGCUCACUUUGAGAGCAGGGAUUUUAAAACAUCUUGUUUGGUUUUCGUUUGUUUUCACUACAGCCAAAUAUCUCAAUAACUAUGCAGAAAAAGAUAUUGUUAUUACAAGAUAAUGUAUUUUUCAUGUGGUGUGGAUGACAAAGUUGAAAAUAUAAAAUAGUUUUUUUUUUU